GGGUCCGGGGCGCCGGAGACCGGGGGGUGGGGGUAGUUGCUGGCGACCGUGCGCGUGCGUGAGUCACGCGGUGGUGGGGAGAGUGCGCUGGCUCGCCGCGGCGCUGCCCAGGCGAUUGCUCACGGACUCAGGAAAACGGGUUCCAGGCUCUCCUCCGCCUGGGUGCUGAACCCUAUAACCUUGAACUACUCAGGAACUCUCCCUUACCCACCCACAAAAUCUUUGCUGCAUUGGCGACGGCCGGUUGGUCAACCCUGGGAGCACAGGGCGAAGGAUGACCGAGAACCUUCUUGACCUUAAAGCUUUGGGGGUCUAACAGAGAAAACAGAAAGCGAGCUCACACAGGUUCCGCUGGAGUGCAAGACAGGAACCGUGGAGGUGAUGGGAGAUUUGGAAACAGCUCUGUGGAGGUUUACACGGUUAUUCAAAGACCCUGGUGGAAAGCAGUCUGCCUCUCUUCCCGGAGCCAACCACAACAACCCAAACAAAGAAGAACCCAGGUGUCUGAGCCACAGGAUGAUGGGUGGCCAGGUGGCCUGAGGACAAGCACCUAAACCAGAGGAUCCCGCACCAAACCAGGAAGGAGCCCCUGAACGGGACUAGUGAAUGGAUGGAUAUUUUAAUUUUAUAGUUGACGGUGCCCAGAAUGCCAUUCCGCACGAAUCAAAAUAAGAACAACAAGGAGUGUGUUCAGAAAUUGUUAGGAAAUUUUCCCCCGCUCCCAACCAAAUUUCCCUUCACGAUUCUGAUGAAACUGCCUGCCGACAGCGAUGCUCUUAGGUGGGGUCUCGCGUGUACCAAAUUGGCCCUAAACUUCCAAGAAUGACCUUGAACUUCA